rnacentral:rRNA from 1 species
CCUACGGGUGGCUGCAGUGGGGAAUAUUGGACAAUGGGGGGAACCCUGAUCCAGCCAUGCCGCGUGUGUGAAGAAGGCCCUCGGGUUGUAAAGCACUUUCAGUGAGGAAGAACGCCUGGUGGUUAAUACCCAUCAGGAAAGACAUCACUCACAGAAGAAGCACCGGCUAACUCCGUGCCAGCAGCCGCGGUAAUACGGAGGGUGCGAGCGUUAAUCGGAAUUACUGGGCGUAAAGCGCGCGUAGGUGGCUUGAUAAGCCGGUUGUGAAAGCCCCGGGCUCAACCUGGGAACGGCAUCCGGAACUGUCAAGCUAGAGUGCAGGAGAGGAAGGUAGAAUUCCCGGUGUAGCGGUGAAAUGCGUAGAGAUCGGGAGGAAUACCAGUGGCGAAGGCGACCUUCUGGACUGACACUGACACUGAGGUGCGAAAGCGUGGGUAGCAAACAGGAUUAGAUACCCUUGUAGUC